UACGGGGGGAGCAAGCGUUGUUCGGAUUUACUGGGCGUAAAGGGCGCGUAGGCGGCCUCCGCAAGUCGACUGUGAAAUCUCCGGGCUUAACUCGGAAAGGUCAGCCGAUACUGCGGGGCUAGAGUGCAGAAGGGGCAACUGGAAUUCUCGGUGUAGCGGUGAAAUGCGUAGAUAUCGAGAGGAACACCUGAGGUGAAGACGGGUUGCUGGGCCGACACUGACGCUGAGUGCGCGAAAGCCAGGGGAGCAAACGGG
rnacentral:rRNA from 1 species